GCUACCACUCACGCAACAGCAGGGUGCUCCAAAUGAGCACUGUGUGUAAAUCAGGCUUUUCCAAGAUUCUAGUUGUUGCCAAAAUCAAUUAGGUUUCUUCCCAUUGAUGCCUAGAACAAUUUCCUGAAAUCUUGGAAUUGAUUGGAUGCAUUCUUCAAAAGUUAUGUUACAGACAGACAAAUGCCAAUUAUCAAAUCAUACUUAAAUUAGCUGUUACAAGCUUAUUGACCCACUUACCAGAACAAUGUGUUUUAUUGUUUUAUAUGCAUGAGGAAAUCUUGGUAACGUGUUCACUAAGGAGAUGACUACAAUAAUGGCUUACAGUUCUGGGCGGUAUUCAAGGCAAAACAGAACUACUGAUUCUCAACAGCCCUAAACCUAAGUAUGACUGGUUGCAAUCAGCCCUAACAAUGAGCAGUCAGAAUUCUAAAUGAGGUCUUCUUUUCACUUCCAGGAUUUCCUUGUUCCAAAUAUUUCUAAAUGGACACGAGCACUUUGUCACUCUGAAACAAAAGGUUAUUAAAACACAGUGUUGCAGAUGAUCAAAGAGGGAAAAAUCUCUUCUCCAUGAUGUUACCAACCUGCCAAUUUGAGCUGUACUGGGAUUGCCCACAAAACUCCUACUGAUGCAUGGGAAUAAAUUCAAAUGGAUCUCACUUCUGUCUGAGACUUUGAACCGAGCUAAAUGAGUGUACAAAGUACUGAAUAUCCGGUCCCGUAAGUCACCUGGGUGUCAGCCAGGGAGCAGUGGAAAACAAACUCGGAAGCAAUUGCUGAUUGGCUGAAGUUUUGUAGCCUCAGCCUCUACUUCCGGAUUUGAUACCAGGCCUGCUGAUGUUCCUCCAAAGACAUCGUAACUAGAGAUGGACCAAGGAGGAGGUGCUCAGAUAAGCAAGUCCUCAAAGUAUCCACGUCUUGGCUGAGAUUCCCUUUAAUUCGGUGGAAGUAGUUUCCAGUGUCAGCACCACAGAUGUCAUCAGCAUACUCCUACUUCUUGGCCUGAAUUUGAGGAAGUUCAUGUGUGUAUAUAUGAAACAUUAGGGGAGCCAAAACUGACCUUUGUGGAAGGCAAAUGGGGCAAUGUUUAAGGCAAUCGAUUUUUCUCCCUGACUUCCAGGAUGAUGCUUUGGUUGCUGCUCAUUUCUUGGAUGAAUGCACCACCUACAAAACUUAUAACUUGCAGCACCUUUGCAGUCAGCCUGAGGUGCCACACAGUGCUGUAGGCUGCUGUCCGCUCGAUAAGGACUUUGCAACAACUUUCUUUCCUGACUCAAGUGUGUCUUCUAUGUCUUGAGUAAGAUGAAAUACUGAUCUCGGGGUGCAUUGUCCCCUCCUGAAUCUAGUCUGAACGUGAAUCUGUAAUGCCUCUUCUAAUGGUGAUACUUUUUCUAAACUAGAUAAUGGGAAAAGAAAUUAAUGGGACCCAGUGGGGGAAAAAAUGGAAACAUGUGCCUUAAAAAUCCUCCAUAGUAAUCUUGACUGCUCGUCUUGGUCUGUCAAGAAUGGAUUAGUUUAGACAGUGACAUUAAACAUGUGUCAGAAAACAAAAAACAGCUGUAAACAUAUUUUCUAGUUAGAGAGAUUACCACAUGUCUUGCAGACAGCUGGAUUCCAGAGCAUGACCUGGGAAAUUCCAAUCUUUACUCUGCCUCUGGAGUGCUGCUGGGUCCCACUAUUAUUUAUAUAUGGGAAUGCAUCCGUUGUGAGGCAAAGCAAAAAGGCCGGAAAGCUCUACAGGCCAAAAGCCCUCAGGAAAAGGGCUGGACUUCGAGAUAAAUUCAUUUUUCUCCAAACACAAAUGGCAUGUCUGUAGUUUAAAUAAAAAAGUAUAGAACUCCAGUAUAUGGAAAAAAAGUUCUGAUUAGAAAUGUUGCUGCAGUACGGCCUCACACAUAAUUCUCCAGAAAAACAUUUUGUACUAGCUCAAUUACGUUUUAUCCAUCUCUUACCAGAACUUUUUUUAAAAUUCAAAGUUCUAAAUGAUUUUUAAAAAAUCACAUUUGACACUCACAGGGUCUAAUUCUCAUUUACAUCACUCUGGCAGUGCAAAGGUGGUGGACUACCAGAGUGGUAAAAAAACAUCUGUAGGGUAAAUAAAAUCUAGGCCCACAAUCUUCAGUGCACGGUCUACAAUAGUUUAAAGAUGUACUAAAUGUUUCAUUUUUCUCAGUGGGGGGUGGGGGUGAAGAAAGCAUCCAGUCCACACCAGUUUAAUAAUUUUAAUCCUUGUGGUUCGCUUGGUAUUUUAAAUGCCAUCUUUCAGAGCCCAUAUUUAAGAGGAAAAAGAUUUCUAUAAGGUGAAUAUUUUUCCUGUGAGAAUAGGAAACCAGUGUGGCUGACAUUAUAUUUUUAAACAAUUAUGGUAUAUUAGAUCAUGGGUUUCUGUGGUUGAGUAUGACGUCAGGUCACCACAAAAUCAUACCAUGAGAAUCACAUGGAGGAACACAUGGAAUUCUAAUGAUUUUCAGCAUUCAGACAACAUUGCAAAAGCCAAAAUCUGGAUACACUGAAUUUGCUCAUCUAGUGGUAUCCAAACAGACCUAUUCCCAGGAAAUGGGGAAAUUGUUGUGUGUAACAACUUCAAAGAAGGAACA